rnacentral:rRNA from 1 species
AGAGUUUGAUCCUGGCUCAGGAUGAACGCUAGCGACAGGCCUAACACAUGCAAGUCGAGGGGCAGCACGGUGUAGCAAUACACGGGUGGCGAGUGGCGCACGGGUGCGUAACGCGUAUGCAACCUACCCUUAACUGAGACAUAACCUGGCGAAAGCUGGGCUAAUAUCUCAUGAGGUUAUAGAGGGGCAUCCUGAUAUAAUCAAAGCAGCGAUGUGGUUAAGGAUGGGCAUGCGUCCCAUUAGCUAGUUGGCGAGGUAACGGCUCACCAAGGCGACGAUGGGUAGGGGUUCUGAGAGGAAGGUCCCCCACACUGGUACUGAGACACGGACCAGACUCCUACGGGAGGCAGCAGUAAGGAAUAUUGGGCAAUGGUCGGAAGACUGACCCAGCCAUGCCGCGUGCAGGAAGAAGGCCCUAUGGGUUGUAAACUGCUUUAGCCAGGGGCUAAACCUACCGAUGCGUUGGUAGCUGAAGGUACCUGGAGAAUAAGCAUCGGCUAACUCCGUGCCAGCAGCCGCGGUAAUACGGAGGAUGCGAGCGUUAUCCGGAUUUACUGGGUUUAAAGGGUGCGCAGGCGGUUGUUUAAGUCAGGGGUGAAAGCCCUAUGCUCAACAUAGGGAUUGCCUUUGAUACUGAACGGCUAGAGUGAAGAUGGAGUGGGUGGAAUGUGUUGUGUAGCGGUGAAAUGCAUAGAUAUAACACAGAACACCGAUCGCGAAGGCAGCUCACUAAUUUUCAACUGACGCUCAUGCACGAAAGCGUGGGGAUCAAACAGGAUUAGAUACCCCGGUAGU